UGAAUACGAGACGCUACGGCGUCGAAGCAGUCUAUGUCAUACUUCCAAGAAAAGCUUGCACUGUCAUAAACAAAUAAUGCCUGUACCAUAACCGACACAGGUGGGUAGGUAGAGUAUACUAAGGGGCGCGAGAUAACUCUCUCUAAGGAACUCGGCAAAAUGACUCCGUAACUUCGGGAGAAGGAGUGCCUUAUUUAUAAGGUUGCAAUAACAAGAUCCAAGCAACUGUUUAUCAAAAACACAGGUCUCCGCUAAGUCGUAAGACGAUGUAUGGGGGCUGACGCCUGCCCAGUGCCAGAAGGUUAAAGAAGUUGGUUAGCAUUAGCGAAGCUGAUAACUGAAGCCCUGGUGAACGGCGGCCGUAACAAUAACGGUCCUAAGGUAGCGAAAUUCCUUGUCGGGUAAGUUCCGACCCGCACGAAAGGCGUAAUGAUUUGGAUACUGUCUCAGAGAGGGGCUCGGUGAAAUAGACUUGUCUGUGAAGAUGCGGACUACCUGCACCAGGACAGAAAGACCCUAUGAAGCUUUACUGUAACUUGAAAUUGAAAUUGGACUUUAUUUGCGCAGUAUAGGUGGGAGGCAUUGAUAAUAUUCUUGCGGGAAUGUUGGAGCCAUCAGUGAGAUACCAUUCUUGUAAUGUUAGAUUUCUAACUUUGGAUCAUUAUCUGGUCAAAGGACAGUUUCAGGCGGGCAGUUUGACUGGGGCGGUCGCCUCCUAAAUGGUAACGGAGGCGCACAAAGGUUUCCUCUGAACGGGUAGAAAUCGUAUCUAGAGUGUAAAGGCAUAAGGAAGCUUGACUGUGAGACCUACAAGUCGAGCAGGGACGAAAGUCGGUCUUAGUGAUCUGACGGUGCUGAGUGGAAAGGCCGUCACUCAACGGAUAAAAGUUACUCUAGGAUAACAGGCUGAUCUCCCCCAAGAGUUCACAUCGACGGGGAGGUUUGGCACCUCGAUGUCGGCUCAUCGCAUCCUGGGGCGGUAGUACGUCCCAAGGGUUGGGCUGUUCGCCCAUGAAAGCGGUACGCGAGCUGGGUUCAGAACGUCGUGAGACAGUUCGGUCCAUAUCCGGUGUAGGCGUUAGAAUAUUGAGAGGAGCCUUCUUUAGUACGAGAGGACCGAGAAGGACAUACCUCUGGUGUACCAGUUAUCGUGCCAACGGUAAACGCUGGGUAGCUAUGUAUGGAGAGGAUAACCGCUGAAAGCAUCUAAGUGGGAAGCCCACCUCAAGAUAAGUAUUCUC
rnacentral:rRNA from 1 species